rnacentral:rRNA from 1 species
UACGUAGGGUGCAAGCGUUGUCCGGAAUUAUUGGGCGUAAAGGGCGCGUAGGCGGGCGGUCAAGUCAAAGGUGAAAGCCCACGGCUCAACCGUGGAAGUGCCUCUGAUACUGGCUGUCUGGAGGGAGGUAGGGGCGUGCGGAACUUCCGGUGGAGCGGUGAAAUGCGUAGAUAUCGGAAGGAACACCGGUGGCGAAAGCGGCGCGCUGGACCUCUACUGACGCUGAGGCGCGAAAGCCAGGGGAGCAAACGGG